rnacentral:rRNA from 1 species
CAGCAGCCACGGGAAUACGUAGGGCGCAAGCGUUGUCCGGAAUUAUUGGGCGUAAAGAGCUCGUAGGCGGUCUGUCGCGUCUGGUGUGAAAUCCCGAGGCUCAACCUCGGGCUUGCAUCGGGUACGGGCAGACUAGAGUGCGGUAGGGGAGACUGGAAUUCCUGGUGUAGCGGUGGAAUGCGCAGAUAUCAGGAGGAACACCGAUGGCGAAGGCAGGUCUCUGGGCCGCAACUGACGCUGAGGAGCGAAAGCAUGGGGAGCGAACAGGAUUAGAUACCCCCGUAGUCCCUGUCUCUUAUAC